UACGUAGGUCCCGAGCGUUGUCCGGAUUUACUGGGCGUAAAGGGAGCGUAGGCGGACUUUUAAGUGAGAUGUGAAAUACUCGGGCUCAACUUGAGUGCUGCAUUUCAAACUGGAAGUCUAGAGUGCAGGAGAGGAGAAUGGAAUUCCUAGUGUAGCGGUGAAAUGCGUAGAGAUUAGGAAGAACACCAGUGGCGAAGGCGGUUCUCUGGACUGUAACUGACGCUGAGGCUCGAAAGCGUGGGGAGCAAACAGG
rnacentral:rRNA from 1 species